AAACUUAACUGAAUGUGACGCUAGCUGGUGUUUGUCGAAAGUAGAAUAGAAGAAUCUCACACCAUGUCGAAUGUUACAUGUGAUAAGCCUGCUAUUCUACUUGCCAAUCCACACCGAUCAGAGUAAAACAAAAACCAUAAAACCUGCACACACGUGGAAACAUAUUUGAAUUUACAUAUUUAUUUAUUUUUUUUCACUAAAUCGAUCACACAGAGGACGACACUUUAAUCCGAGCACAUUCGCUGCAAUCACAGGCAAUAUCUUAUGUGUGUGUGUGUGUGUGUGGAGUAGAUAACUGGAUUUGGAUUGGCCGCUGUUAUCGAUAGUGAGAAGCGUAUCACAUACAUACAUGUAUAUGGGCAUAGAUAUGACGACCUCAUGCUGAAUGUGGCAUGGAUAAACACAGCCAAGUGAAUAAAGCUAAAGGCUCCAAAUAAAUGUGACACAUCAAGCGAACAGAAUGCUUGUUCAGCCAAUGUCCAGUUUAGCUCGCCGAUUUGAAGACUACAUCGAAAACGACGAAACUAAACAAACAGAACGAGCAAACAACAAACAGAAAUUGUGUAAAAGGUCGUCAAACGUGUCGUUGGCACAUCGUUGAUAAGAAAACCCAAAUGCAGACCAUAUACACAACAUACAUAGUUUAUACAUACAUACUAUGUACUCUGCCCGGCGUGGUUGGUAUCAAUAAAUGCUUCUACUGCGGCAGUUACCAGCACAUUGAGUCAGAUAAGAUAUAGAAAUUAACUGUGAUAAAUGACAAUCAGGUGAAGAAUUCAGGGAGCUAGCAACAAUAUCGGAAAAUUUAGCUCAUGGGAUAAUCAAAUAUUGUAAAUUAGAAAAUAAUAAUCGAAAUUGAACGAACUCAAUUCCAUUGAUGACAUUGUGUGUCGAUGAUGGAAUAACUUAUCAGUAAGAUCAAUCAAAAUCGAUAGUUUCCCGUCGACUGGCAGAAGUCGAAGUAAAUUAGUCGAAUCUUAUAAGAUAUACAUAUAAGUAAAAAUGCUUUAGACGAUAAGCUUUCGUACUCCAUAAUAAAUA